rnacentral:rRNA from 1 species
GACGAACGCUGGCGGCGUGCCUAAUACAUGCAAGUCGAACGAGAGCGACCGGUGCUUGCACUGGUCAAUCUAGUGGCGAACGGGUGAGUAACACGUGGGUAACCUGCCCAUCAGAGGGGGAUAACAUUCGGAAACGGUGUCUAAAACCGCAUAGGUUUUCGAACCGCAUGGUUCGCAGGUUAAAAGAGGUGCUUGCUUCUGUAGAUGGAUGCACCCGCGGUGCAUUAGCUAGGUUGUGAGGUAACGGCCCACCAAGGCCGGGAUGCAUAGCCGACCUGAAGGGGUGGUCGGACAGAUUGGCAGUGAGGCACGGCCGCAACUCCGGCGGGAGGAAGCGGUAGGGAAUCUUCCGCGAUGGACGCGAGUCUGACGGUGCAACGCCGCCUGAGUGCAGAAGGAUUUAGGAUCGGAGAGCUCUGUUGUUAGUGGAGAACUAGUGCUAGUGUAACUGUUAGCGCAUUGACGGUAUCUAGCCAAAAAGCCACGGCUAACUACGUG